GAUGAACGCUGGCGGCGUGCCUAAUACAUGCAAGUCGAGCGAACAGACGAGGCGCUUGCUCCUCUGACGUUAGCGGCGGACGGGUGAGUAACACGUGGAUAACCUACCUAUAAGACUGGGAUAACUUCGGGAACCCGGAUCUAAUACCGGAUAAUAUAUUGAACCGCAUGGUUCAAUAGUGAAAGACGGUUUUGCUGUCCCUUAUAGAUGGAUCCGCGCCGCAUUAGCUAGUUGGUAAGGUAACGGCUUACCAAGGCAACGAUGCGUAGCCGACCUGAGAGGGUGAUCGGCCACACUGGAACUGAGACACGGUCCAGACUCCUACGGGAGGCAGCAGUAGGGAAUCUUCCGCAAUGGGCGAAAGCCUGACGGAGCAACGCCGCGUGAGUGAUGAAGGUCUUCGGAUCGUAAAGCUCUGUUAUUAGGGAAGAACAAAUGUGUAAGUAACUAUGCACGUCUUGACGGUACCUAAUCAGAAAGCCACGGCUAACUACGUG
rnacentral:rRNA from 1 species